GAUGAACGCUGGCGGCGUGCCUAAUACAUGCAAGUCGAGCGAACAGACGAGGAGCUUGCUCCUCUGACGUUAGCGGCGGACGGGUGAGUAACACGUGGAUAACCUACCUAUAAGACUGGGAUAACUUCGGGAAACCGGAGCUAAUACCGGAUAAUAUAUUGAACCGCAUGGUUCAAUAGUGAAAGACGGUUUUGCUGUCACUUAUAGAUGGAUCCGCGCCGCAUUAGCUAGUUGGUAAGGUAACGGCUUACCAAGGGAACGAUGCGUAGCCGACCUGAGAGGGUGAUCGGCCACACUAGAACUGAGACACGGUCCAUACGCCUACGGGAGGCAGCAGUAGGGAAUCGUCCGCAAUGGGCGAAAGCCUGACGGAGCAACGCCGCGUGAGUGAUGAAGGUCUUCGGAUCGUAAAACUCUGUUAUGAGGGAAGAACAAAUGUGUAAGUAACUAUGCACGUCUUGACGGUACCUAAUCAGAAAGCCACGGCUAACUACGUG
rnacentral:rRNA from 1 species